UGAAAAGAUCUUAAAGGAAAUGAAAAGUGCUACUCCAGUGAACACAUGAAUGAUAAGAAAGCAAAGCAGCCUUAUUGCUAAUAUGGAGACAGUUUAGUGGUCUGGCUAGAAGAUCAAAGCAGCCACAACAUACCCUUGAGCCAAAACCUAAUCCAGAGCAACAUCCUAACUCUCUCGUCAAUUCUAUGAAGGCUGAGAGAGAUGAAGCUAUAGAAGAAAAAUGUGAAGCUAGGAGAGGUUAGUUCACAAGGUUUAACAAAAGAAGCUGUCUCUGUAACAGAAAAGUGUAAAGUGAAGCAGCAAGUGCUGAUGUAGAAGCUGCAGCAAGCUAUGCAGAAGAUCUAGAUUAGAUCAUUGAUGAAGGCGGGGCUACACUAAAUAACAGAUUUUUAACAUAGACAAAACAGCCUUCUCUUGGAAGAAAAUGUCAUCUAGGACUUUUAUAGCUAGAGAGAAGUCAAUGAAUGGCUUCAAAGCUUCAGUGAACAGGCUGACUCUCUUGUUAGGGGCUAAUGGAACUGGUGACUUUAAGUUGAAACCAGUGCUCAUUUAGCAUUCCAAAAAAUAUGAGCGUCCUUCGUAAUUAUGCUAUAUCUACUGUGCCUGUGCUCAAAACACCAAAGCAUGGAUGACAGCACCUCUGUUUACAGCACGGAUUACUGAAUAUUUUAAGCCCACCGUUGACAUCAAUUGCUUAGAAAAAAAGAUCCAUUUCAAAAUAUUACUGUUCAUUGAUAAUGCACCUAGUCACCCAGGACCUCUGUUGAAGAUAUAUAAAGAGAUUAAUAUUUAACAUAUAAUAUUAAAUAAAUAUCUUAUUAUUUAAGAAAUACAUUUUGUGGGGCUAUACCUUACAUAGUUAUUCUUCUGAUGGAUCCGAGGAAAGUAAAAACUUUCUGGAAAAGAUUCACCAUUCUAGAUGCCAUUAAGAACAUUUGUGAUUCAUGGGAAGAAGUAAAAACAGCAACAUUAAAAAGAGUUUGGAAGAAGUUGAUUCCAACCCUCAUGGAUGACUUGGAAGGGUUCAAGACUCCAGUAGAGGAAAUCACAGCAGAUGUGGUAGAAAUAACAAGAGAGCUAGAAUUAGAAGUGGAGCCUGAAGAUGUGACUGGAUUGCCACAAUCUCAUAAGAAAACUUGAACAGUUGAGGAGUUGCUUCUUAUGGAAGAGCAAAGAAAGUGUUCUUUUGAGAUGGAAAUGACAACAAAGGAUUUAGAUAUUACACAAACUUAGUUGAAAAAGCAUCGGCAGGUUUUGAGAAGACUGACUCAAAUUUUGAAAGAAGUCCUACUGUGGGUAAAAUGUUAUCAAACAGCAUUGCAUGCUACAGAUAAAUCUUUUGUGAAAGGAAGAGUUUGUUAGUGUGGCAAGCUUCACUGGUAUAUUAUUUUAAGAAAUUACCAGAACCACCUCAGCCUCCAGCAAACACCAUCUUGAUUUAUCAGCAGCCAUCAACAUUGAGGCAAGACCUUCUACUAGCAAAAACAUUACGACUUACUGAAGAUUCAGAUGAUCGUUAGCAUUUUUUAGCAAUAUAGUAUUUUUAAGGAUGGAUAAUGCAUCUGUAAACCUGAAACGUACCCAUUCUCCUUGAAGGCAAAUGUUAGGGCAUCUGCCUUAACUUUGGCAUAAAGAUGUUCACUGAUCCUGGCUUACUGGACUUUAAUCCAGUACUAAUGACUUGAAGCACACUGUGAACUACAAACAUAUUUUCAUUCAUCAUGGCAGAUGCUCUUUGAGACUUGCAUUGUGAGGACAGAAGUUCAAUUAAUGUGUUUCCCAUUUGUUCUUCUGACAGAUAGAGGCCAAAUGACACAAUGGGAAGAUCUUCAACUAAGUGUCAAGAAAAAAAACUAGUGUUCUAGUGUUCUAGAGUCCUCUUUGCCACUUAAAAUAGCCUUGUGACUAUAAGUGUGUCAUCCAUCAUCUUGGAGGUUCAGAAAUGGAAAGGAAAGACAUUUUGUAAGUGGCAUAGCAUAAAUGUCGAUAGAAUCCUGGCUUUGUCACUCCAACUUAGGUGACCACUAAACCAUCUGUUUCCAUUUUCUCUUUCACUUAUUUAAUAUACAUUUAGUGGUUAGCAUAAACUGACACUGUAUUAAAUAAGUAAAAAAUGAAAUAAAUGGUUGUUGUCU
rnacentral:lncRNA from 1 species